ACCUGGGUGGCUCAGUUGGUUAAGCAUCUGACUUCAGCUCAGGUCAUGAUCUCACGGUUUGUGGGUUCGAGCCCCACAUCAGGUG
rnacentral:tRNA from 1 species